rnacentral:lncRNA from 1 species
UGGGAUUCAUGAUCAGAAUUUUUGUUGCAGUGUAGCUCCUCAUCCAGAACUGACAUUACACCCCACUCAGCAGUGCCAGGAUCAACUGCAGUGUCAUUAUCUGUAACAGCAAUAGUAGUGUCUUCUGGACAUGAAAGUUUUUACAUGUACUUCUAGGGAUGUUUCUUAUUCUUGAUGCUUGCAUAAUUGUUCGUUAUUUAUAAUAACUUCCCUAAAUACAAUGAAAAUAUGAUUAUUGAACAGGAAAGAAUUUUUUUAUUAUUAUUAUUGUUAUCUUGUGAAGCCUGGGAUUCAAAACCUUUGAGUUCAUUUUCUCAUUAAGUCUCAGAUCGUUCAAGUGGCCUUGGACACAUCACUUAAUUUCAUUGGUCUUUUUUCGGAUUAAAAGACCACUUCACCUAUUUCCCCAUCACACAGUAGUGGUUAGAGGACAGGUUCUAAAUUGACUGUAAAUUGCUCACAUGUUAUUUUAUAGGGGGCAUAAUUUUUAUAAUGACUCCCACAACUCCUUAUUGCUAAGGAAUUGUAGGGCUAUGGUAAAGACAAUAGCUGUAUGUAUGUUGAUAUAACUCAGUGUCUGCCUAAUGAUGAUUACACCAUCUGUAUAUAUUUUCAUUAUCAGAGAGGCCUAGAAGUGAUAGUCUGGGUAUGUCUUUCCUACCUAAACAAGCUAAAUUAUAUCAGAUCAUUAGGGCAGGGCAGCUGUCAAUGUUGAUUUUAUCUCAUAUUUUUUUCACUUAAAGAAAAAAAACAAAAAAAACAGUGGGAAAGUAUCCAUCUGCACAUAUCUUCUCAACACAAGAGGGAUGCUAACAUGCUCUUGAAAUUGGUUCAGUAUACUGAAACAGAAAAAUGUUGAAAUUGCACCACAUUUGCUCUCUUGGGGAUUCACUGACAGAUGUUGGCAGAUGGCACAUGUGGACAUAGCACUUCCUUUUACAGAAAUGUUUCUCUUUGCUUUGCCAGUCUUUAAGAUAGAAAGUGUGUUAUUAAGACAACAGAUGAUGCUAUUUUCUGUGUUUCACAUACAGAUUCAUUAAGGAGCAUAUGUAUUUCAUAUUUCAUCACUUUGAAGUUUGUGGUGGACAUCUCUUACUGUAUGAUAUGUUGCUCCUCACUGCUGAACACUGUGUCCUGAGAAAAAGAAAGGGAUGUUGCCAGCUGUCUGUAACCUUCUUCUCAUAUGACAGAACAAGUUAUGCUUUCCACACAGCUGUCUUAAUUUCCCACAUGUUUGUUAUCGAGUAUCUGAAAUAUCUGGAUUUUACAUGAGGCAGCCAACAUGUUGUGAACAUUCCUUGUAUUACGGAAAAAAAAAAAAGCAGAAAUUUCCAGGUUGAGUGUGGGUGAAACGUUAUGAGAAGAGAUCCAGCAUCCUGGACUGCCUUCAACUCCACCGUUCAAAAUGACAAAUGCUGGAUAAAAGGCCACUGGUUUAGCUGCAGCCUUUACAUUUUCAAGAGCAGUUAGAAGAUUCUUGGCAGGAUGACUUUUCUCCCUUGAUGUCAAUAAUUAAUAGUAAGGUAAUCAGGGUACAGAUUCUGCAAAGGAGUGGUAAAAAUAAAGAGAAAAGAUGUCCUAUGUUAUUUUUGAAUACGUUUCUAGUUUCUUAAUUUCAGUCCUCUUUUGAUGUAAUGCAUGCCAUAUGAUUUGAUACAUUUCAGCAUAGGCCUACAGAUACAUCUGCUCCAAUGUUUGAUUUUGGUACUCUGGUUGAUAUGCAAAAUGAUGAUGUUAGACUUAGUCAUAAGAUGGAUUCUGUUUUUAAUCAUUAUACAAGGUGUUAUCUUUCUUGUGGAAAGUCAGUCCUGAGCAGAAUACACUCCAAGCAGAAUUGUCUUUCCAAAUGAUCUUAUGUUGCUGUUACUGGAGACGAAUUCCAAGAAUGGGAUGCAAAAUGUGUCCACUGACAUUUGGCAGUGUGCUCAGUUACAACAUACACAACAAAUGAUAAAGACAGAAAUAAAGUUCAAGAUAUAAAGAAUUAUGGAUCAACUUUGCCCAGUGAUAUGUGGAAUUUUUCUGUACUGGACCUUUGGAGACACAGUUACUUCUCCUGAUCACCACUGGGUUCCUUCACAGCCUGCUGUUACUCCUGCUUCUCUGAAGUAUAUACUCUUAUGUUGGAUGGGAAAAUAUGGCCUCUAACAACAUGAGUAACAUCCUUUCACUGCACACCAGUUGCACAUAGAGAAGAGGAAAACUAGAAUGUCAAGAAGGAAAAAGCACCAUCUCUUUUACCUGUCAGUACUAGGACCUACAGACCUUUCCAUCUUAAUUUAUCAUGAAGACCUAGCUAAAAAUACAGUUCCUGACAAGUGGUUCCAAAUAAAUUAAUUGAAAACAUCAACAAGAAAGAUCAUUGACACUUCUGCUAGUUUUACUUUCCUGCAAAAUGAAUCAUUCUGGGUACUGCUGUUUCUUCUGUAGCCUGGAGUAUAACUGUUUACACAUUUAAAAGAGGAUUGUUCAGCUCAUGCAGUCACCUUGGAAAAUGCCAACCAGAUUCCUUUAUGAUGGAACUAAACUGGGAUAUAUUCCCUGGAAGCAUUGUGAAAAUACACCAACUGCAAAAAGGGACAAAGCUCAUGGGCAACACAAGGACCAAUCUAAAUUAAACUCCCCUUGAAAUGUGUACAUCGGGGACACUGGAUCUUAAACAUUAUUUGUUUUGUUUUGCAAAUCUACUGCUUAGCUACACUGCUAGACCAUACAUAACCCUGAAGACCAUAAAGUUUAUUCACUGAAUGCUGAACUUCUCUGAAAAUCUAAAUGUGAGAAUGACAAAAAGCAGUUCACAGACAUUGUAGUUCUUCUCUGCACAGAUAAAUGCACAGUGUCUCAAAAAUACUUCAACAGAGUCUUUUGAAAAUCCAUGGCAUCAUCGGAGAAACAGAGCUGACUGAUUUUGUCUGAAAAAAAAAUUUAGAAGAUGGUUUCAUUUGUAUUUUAGCACAGGAAAUUGUCAGAAGUCUGCCAACAGUUCUGUAAAAUUCUCCAUCUCCUCACUACUUCUUCAAUCUGCAUCCUUUCCCUAAUGAAAUAUACCAUCUCUGCUAUCAAUUCAGCAGUGUGCAAGCACACGCUCAGCUUUCUAGGAGCAAUUCAGUAACAUUCAACCACCCAGAUGUCUGGAAAUGUCUUCACCAGGAACCUGGGUGAGUAGCCAAGGGAAGUUUACCUCUGAAUUUCAGUGAUAUUCAGGUGAAUUUCAUGAUCUUUACUUGUUAUUAUCAGAAAUGAUGGUGUGAAGUACUUUAAUCAGUGUUAGAGUGCACAAAAUCUGCUGCUAUAGCAGUUCAUAAUAGGAGCUCAUUAUCAGCUACAAUAGCUGUCUCCUAGAAGGAAUGAAUAAAUAAACUGGGUUGAAAAUAUGAUGUGAAAAUAUUUCUAUUGUAUAACAUUAUGCAUAUAAUUCAUCAAAUUUUCUUAGUAGGUUGUGUUGUCUACCAUGACAUUAGCAAGGAUUUUGAUAUGUCUCCCGUUCUUGUAAUAUAGUUGGGAUGUUACAGUACAGAUGGGUAGACUACAAGGUGCAUGAAAUCCUGGGUAGGUUACUUGUCAACGUGUGUAGAUUCACCAUCCACACUUCACCUUGGUUGAAUGGUUACAUGUAAAGUUUUUAAGGACUCUGUCCCGGGACUGAUCCUAUUUAAAAAUGUGGAGAAGAGUGAAGAUAUAUUCAUCAUAUUUGUAUACAACACUGUCUGGGAUAGUGUUGUAUGCUAUCUACCUACAGUAGAUGGUCUUGAUGGCAGGGCUGCCAUUCAGAUGGACCUGGCUAGGCUAGAUGAAGCAAGGAACUUUGUGAAAUUGAACAAAGACAAAUGCAAAGACUUGCAUCUUGGACAGACAUACCCUUCAUCAGCACUGGCUGGGUACUGACUGGCUGGAUAGCAACCCUGUUGGAAAGCUGCCAGGAAUCCUCGGUGGACAGUAUGCUAAACACGAGUCACAUCUGGGUAACAGUGAUGGUGGCUAACAGUAUACUUGGCUGUAAAAAUGGGAUCGAUUCAGCCACUAGAUCAAAGGAAGAGCAUAAUCAGCUUGCUGUUCAUUAGAUCACUUCUGGAGACCUGAAUCCAGUUUUGAGCCUUUCAGGACAGUAAAGAGAUUGAUUAACUGGAAUGAGUUCAGCAAAUAGCCACCAAAAUGGAUGGAGGACGGAGCAUUCUUCCUGUGAGCAAAGAGGGAUCUGAGCUUGUUUAGCUGGAUCAGGAACAUUAGGGACCUCCAGCAGCACAGAGCCAUGAAUUUUACUGGCUUGCACAGUGAGAAGAUGAGUGACCAAAAAUUGAAGCAUGAGUGUUUC